rnacentral:rRNA from 1 species
AAGGGCUCGUAGGCGGUUCGUCGCGUCCCGGUGUGAAAGUCCAUCGCCUAACGGUGGAUCUGCGCCGGGUACGGGCGGGCUGGAGUGCGGUAGGGGAGACUGGAAUUCCCGGUGUAACGGUGGAAUGUGUAGAUAUCGGGAAGAACACCAAUGGCGAAGGCAGGUCUCUGGGGCCGUCACUGACGCUGAGGAGCGAAAGCGUGGGGAGCGAACAGGAUUAGAUACCCUGGUAGUCCACGCCGUAAACGGUGGAUGCUGGAUGUGGGGCCCUUUCCACGGGUCCCGUGUCGGAGCCAACGCGUUAAGCAUCCCGCCUGGGGAGUACGGCCGCAAGGCUAAAACUCAAAGAAAUUGACGGGGGCCCGCACAAGCGGCGGAGCAUGCGGAUUAAUUCGAUGCAACGCGAAGAACCUUACCUGGGCUUGACAUGUGCCGGAUCGCCGUGGAGACACGGUUUCCCUUCGGGGCCGGUUCACAGGUGGUGCAUGGUCGUCGUCAGCUCGUGUCGUGAGAUGUUGGGUUAAGUCCCGCAACGAGCGCAACCCUCGCCGCAUGUUGCCAGCGGGUGAUGCCGGGAACUCAUGUGGGACCGCCGGGGUCAACUCGGAGGAAGGUGGGGAUGACGUCAGAUCAUCAUGCCCCUUACGUCCAGGGCUUCACGCAUGCUACAAUGGCCGGUACAACGCGGUGCGACACGGUGACGUGGGGCGGAUCGCUGAAAACCGGUCUCAGUUCGGAUCGCAGUCUGCAACUCGACUGCGUGAAGGCGGAGUCGCUAGUAAUCGCGGAUCAGCAACGCCGCGGUGAAUGCGUUCCCGGGCCUUGUACACACCGCCCGUCAAGUCAUGAAAGUGGGUAGCACCCGAAGCCGGUGGCCCGACCCUUGUGGGGGGAGCCGUCUAAGGUGAGACUUCGUGAUUGGGACUAAGUCGUAACAAGGAG